CAUGUGUCAAUACAACUACCUAAUAAUUAAAUAAUUUAAUUGUAAUCGUUUUCAAAAGUUUGAAUAGUACGUUUGAAUUCGCGCCGCGCGAUACGUGCACUAUAUAUGUGAUUUUCCGUUGUCUCUGUCAUUGUACUAUAGUUAAUUAAGCGGGAAACGCAACAAAGUAUAUUACUUUUUGCUUUGAUGAUUUCCCUCGUUAACAGCAAAAAACUUCGUUCGCUGAAUAAUCGUUGAAUAUCAACAAUUGUUUCUGCAAACUUGGAUAAUCACUUGUGUUAUUGCUUAAUCAACUCAAUUAGACCCGGAUAGUCGAAGAAUCUUGCCGCAUUUCCUGAGGAAGCUGUUGAUCGUCGACCCUCGCUUGCGUCCAUCUCCAGCUAGAGAGGGGCUGCUCAACAGGUCCUGGAAGCCUCGUCUUCUUCGACUGCACCUGGACAUUGAGUUUGUCAGGCAGCUUACACAUACAUAUAUUUUCUGUUUCAUACACUCCAUCCUGCAACUUGAUUACUUUUCUUUCAUUAUUUCUCAUUACAACAAUAGUUCAUAUAGACUUUACUCAUUCUUUCUUAUACUUUCUAUUUUCGAGCCUAAUAUUGUCAACCACACCAUCGUCUGGACCAUCUACCACACCACAGCACCUGCGGUUCCUAGAAUAUUAUAUAAAGUUAGCUGAAAAAAAACCACAGACAACAACAGCCACUCAGCGGAAGAUAAGAAUUGCAGCUUGCUUCUGAGGUACUUCGACAGGUUCAGCUCACCGUACUCACCAAUAUAGUUGGAAUAGCAAAAACACCAUCAGAAGCGCAGCCAGGAAUAUGCGUCAAAAUUAGGAUUAUCUUUAUAGAUAAGUAUAUUAUCUAGCGUUUAUAAUUUAUUCAAUUACAAAUUUAAAUCUGUUUUAUAUUUAUUUGCAGCGGCAGCAGCAAAGUCAACAAUAAUAACAAGGAAGUGUGCCGAUUGUUCUCCUCGCCUCCAGGAGUCGUCCAAUUUUCAACUGCUUUAUUAUUAUUUAAUAUUGUUCGUUUAUUAAUAUUAUUAUUAUUCUUGUUAUCAUUAUAUUAGAUUGAUCAAAGCUCAAAAA
rnacentral:lncRNA from 1 species